UACGUAGGGUGCAAGCGUUAAUCGGAGUUACUGGGCGUAAAGCGUGCGCAGGCGGUUAUGUAAGACAGAUGUGAAAUCCCCGGGCUCAACCUGGGAACUGCAUUUGUGACUGCAUGGCUAGAGUGCGGCAGAGGGGGAUGGAAUUCCGCGUGUAGCAGUGAAAUGCGUAGAUAUGCGGAGGAACACCGAUGGCGAAGGCAAUCCCCUGGGCCUGCACUGACGCUCAUGCACGAAAGCGUGGGGAGCAAACAGG
rnacentral:rRNA from 1 species